UGUAAGCGUAUACCAAAGUUGUUGCAGUUAAAACGCUCGUAGUCGGAAUUUGGCAGUUCCGGAUGUGUGCACGUCGUGUGCGCACUUCGCGGGGAUUGCUUUUGUGGUCCUGCGUAGGAUGAGGCACUUUUAUUAGUGAACGUCCUCACGCAACCACUUUUUACUGUGAGAAAAUCAGAGUGCUCAAAGCAGGCAUUUGCCGUGAAUGUAUUAGCAUGGAAUAAUAGAAUAGGACUUGGUUCUAUUUUGUUGGUUUGUUGGGACUGAGUAAUGAUUAAGAGGGACAGUUGGGGGCAUUUGUAUUUCGGUGCUAGAGGUGAAAUUCUUAGAUUACCGAAAGACAAACUGCUGCGAAAGCGUCUGCCAAGGAUGUUUUCAUUGA
rnacentral:rRNA from 1 species